rnacentral:rRNA from 1 species
UACGUAGGGUGCAGGCGUUAAUCGGAAUUACUGGGCGUAAAGCGUGCGCAGGCGGUCUUUUUAAGUCAGAUGUGAAAUCCCCGGGCUUAACCUGGGAACUGCGUUUGAAACUGGAAGGCUAGAGUGUGGCAGAGGGGGGUGGAAUUCCACGUGUAGCAGUGAAAUGCGUAGAUAUGUGGAGGAACACCGAUGGCGAAGGCAGCCCCCUGGGUCAAGAUUGACGCUCAUGCACGAAAGCGUGGGGAGCAAACAGG